rnacentral:rRNA from 1 species
AAAACUUUCAACAACGGAUCUCUUGGUUCUGGCAUCGAUGAAGAACGCAGCGAAAUGCGAUAAGUAAUGUGAAUUGCAGAAUUCAGUGAAUCAUCGAAUCUUUGAACGCACAUUGCGCCCUUUGGAAUUCCGAAGGGCAUGCCUGUUCGAGCGUCAUUA